CGAUUCUCCAAUUUCCUUAUCUUUUCAUUGUUAGUGUAUAAGAAAGCAACUGAUUUCUGUGCAUUGAUUUUGUAUCCUGCCACAUUAGUGAAUUGCUUUAUGAGUUCUGGUAGUUUUUAUAAUAGGAUGUGGAUUCAAAAAAUGAGUAAUUGGGCCAAGACUUUUUCUCCCCCCGCCAUAGGUUAUAAAAAUUGGGCUUAAAGAAAAGUUUCAACUAUUAAAGAAUUGCUAUCACUACUAAAAUGUAACUUGUUAAGAUUUUGGAGGUAUUUCAUUAAUAAGUGGGAAAUAAAUACAGAUUUCACGGAAGAAUACUGAAAUCAAAGGACAUGAAGUAUAUAAGAUGUAUGCAAAAUGUUUAUCUUUUGCAGACAUAAAAAAUAUGUAUGAAAAAAUCACCUUGGAUUUAAUGAACCUAUUCCGUAGUUUGGCACCAAUACCUUGACUUUAAAAAAUGAAUACCAUUAUCCAAAAUUUUUGGUUAAUAAAAGAGAAUUUGAAAUAAUGAAGGAUGAUAUUUGAUUGUCUGGAUAUCAUGAAGGACCUUUAAUAAGUUGGGUUCAUAAGUGGAGACCUAGAUUUUAUUUUCUAUUCAUUUAUUUCUUUUGUCUCUACCCCAGGAGCAUGAUUUUGGUCUUUAGCAUGCUCCCUUGCAGAAUGAGUACCUAUGUAUAUUAGCUGAAGCCAUGAAAAUCUGCCAAGAUUGCUGUUAGAGUCAGACUCUACAUUACAGCUGUGUCUCACAGUCAAAGCUGGCUGACUGACAUGAUUUAGGUUUAUGUUUCCGUGGUUAGUAAGCCUUGUUUUAUGCAAAAAUAUCUGUUGGCUAGGCAUCAGGGUUCAUAAACAUAACUGCCUCCUACUUGGAGGCAUGCUUUUCCUUUCUUGUUCCUCUUCCUCUAAAAAGCUUAAAGCUAUUACUGCCUUCAAAGCUUAGGGAAAAGUCAGCCUCAUUGGGUAGGCCAGCUUUUGUGUUUCAGUUAAAUUCUAAGCCAAGAUGCAUUAAUUUAUUUAUGAACUUUGGAUUUUUAAAAUGUUUCACCUUGAAAAAAAUCCAUUUCUACUACCACUGUUUUUAGACUUGAAAAGGAAAGAGUAAGUAUGUGACACAGGAGAAAUUAAAAUAAGGAUAAGUCUUCUUCUAAAGCCCAAGAAUUUUUAAAAGGUAGUUUCCAUAGAGAAAUACAAAAUAGAUAGCAAAAUAUUUAUAUCAAAUAAAGGAUAGGUUUUCUGAAUGUGACCUUGUCAUUUUCCAGAUUUAUAUAAUUGCAUUUACCACUUUUUACUUUUGGAAACUUCAGUCAGUUCUGUUCAAUUGAGCAGUGAUUUAAUGAUCACUUACUACAUAGGAAGUACAAGGCUGAUGCGUUUAAAAGUAAAAAUUAUAGUUAUCUGCCUAGCCCUCUAGGAAUUUCAAUUGUAUCUAGUGCUUUAAAAGCAGUCAUGUCCAGCAAAUUUUUAGUUGUACAAGCCCUCUAGAUUCUAUUUUGAAUACAUGUUCUUAGGACAUAGUUCACAACAAAAAUCUCUGUAUUUUUUCUAAACAUACAGAGUCAAAAAAGCAUCUUCCAAAGCUUCCAAACUCAUUGUUUUGUAAUGUUUCUUUUCCUUGUUCUCAUUUACCUCAUUAUUUCCCUUAAAGUUUUAUAUAUUGGCAAAUUUUCUCUCCACUGAUAUUUUGAUCAAUUUAUUUCUUCCCUUUGUAUUCAAUGAAUUUUUCAUACCACCAUCAACUUAGUAUACUUUACACAUUGCAUUGAUGUGUUGAUCUUUCAGGUCGUUGAUGGAAUCGAGAGGAAGUUACUAAAUAAUUUACUGCUUUGUUUGGAAGAGCCCAAGUUUUCUGACCCUUGGGGCAUAAUGGGAGAUCCAUCUGUUUGCCAAACAUAUGCCAGAUGAAGCAACAGGCUCAAGAUCCCAAAUUUGAGUCCCAGAGUAUUGUAAAAUGCAUAGGUAUUAUUUUGGGGAGAAAUGAUAGAAUGAAUAGAUCACAAGCUAAAUAGUAUCUUUUUCGUAACUUAUUUGUUUUUAGUAUAUUACCAAUACCAGCUCUUUUCACUGUGGAAGUCUAGUAUUACCUUUAGAAAUUGAACUUUUUAAUUUUGUUUUCUGAAGAAAAUGUUCAUCAUAAAAAUUUUGGAAAAUGCACCUUCAGAGCCCACAAAUUUAAAAUAACCUGAUAUCCUAUAACUGUGACAUGUUCUAUAUGCACAUCCCCACUGUACCAUGUAAAUGCUUUGGCAUACAUAUAUAAACUGUUGUAUAAAUGGUUACUUUUUAAUUUGGAAAAUUAAUAUAUGUUCAACUUUGUCAGUAGUCUUUAACACAAUUAUUUUACUGACUGCACAUAUUCUCUUACAUGAAAUAGUAUAUAAACAGAUGCUUUUGACAAUCAUUUAUUUCAUUUUAUAUUUUUAUUAGCAAUACUAAAAUAUCUUUGCAUAUAUAGAUCUCUGCAUAGAUCUCAACUGUUUAGAAUAAAUUAUAGAAAUCAUGAUACUAGAUUAAGUAUACAAGGAUAACUGUUCUCACUUCUACAAAUACAUAGAAAUAGUUUAUGAGAUGAUAAAAGAGUAUCACAGUGCUAAAAAAAUAUACAAACAAGAAAUAUUUGGAUGUUAACAGUAAAAAAAUGAAGUCCUAUGGCCCAAGAGAUGCUGAACUCAGAAGCUGUUGAGUCUAGAAUUUCAACCCUUGCGUAUGAAAAGAGACAGCAUAGCUGUUUCCUGAGUCCCAAAGCCAGGCCAGCUACAUGAGUAGUUGAAGUUUUACCCACUUGUAGGAAAAACAGAAUGACACAAUCUCAGAAAAUAUUGCACAGAUUGGGGUUGCCUGGUGUAAAAGAAAUAUUCCACUGCAAGAUGAUUUUUCAAGCUAAGAUUUACUGACUUGAAGCUUUGGAAGUUUCUCACAUGACAGUACAGAGUGGGGAAUUUUAAUUCGGCACUGGCUUUGACAGAUACAAGCUGUUCAGUACCUGCACUUGUAGGUGGUUGUUCCAUCCUGAGUCCUUGGGUUUACAAUUGCUCCUCUCACCAUCUUGAAGGCAAGAGGAAAGUGGACAGAACAUGGGAAAAAAAUGGAUGAGAAGUUUUCAAGCCACUUGUGAAGUGGCAUUUGCUGCUUUUACUCAGAAUCUGCUCACAUCUAGGAGUCUCUGAGUCAAAUGAAUACUGGAAUAAAAGCAUGCAGUUCUUAAUAAUAGACCAAUAUACAAAUUAACCAAUUAAAAUCUUGGAAUUAAAAUUUAAUGGUUGACAUUAUGAAUUUUAAUAGAAAAGCUCUUUAGUAAGCUGGGUACAGAUAUAAAAUGUAAAACUGAGAAAAUGACUCAGAAUUUUAGAACAGUAAAAAAAAUUCAAGUAUGUAAUUGAAUUUCUAGGGCCAGCACAGAGAGCUAAUUGGAGAGAGAUACAAUUCAGAGUUUUAAUGGCUAAAAUUUUUGAGACUCUAAGAAAGUUAAGAGUCCUCAACAAAUAAUAAAGCAAGUGGAUAAAAAAUAAAAUAUAUACUUUAUGCAGUCUAAUAAAGUUAUUUAAUAUCAAGGACAGGUUGAAAAACUCAGAACUUCCAAGCAAAAAAGAAUGGUUAGUAAUGAAAAAAAGAAUACUGAAUUAGAGCAGGCACCAUCUAUAAUAAAAAAAUGUCAGGAGACAAUAGAAAUAUAUUUUAAAACCAUUAAGGGGAAAUUGUUAUAAACCUUGAGUUCUCUAUCCAGCUAAUCUUUUCAGAUUAUGUGUUUAAUAUGUGUUUAAGCAAAACAUGACUAAGUGUUUGAUAGCUGUGGGAACUCCAGGGAAGAAAUAUUAAAAGAUACACUUCAAUAAGAAAUAAAAUGAAUCUAGAAGAAAAGAGUGGGGAAAAAAAGAAGGGAUGGUGAAAAAAUUAAUUUAUAAACUAAGUUGUUAAAUACAAACACAUGUUAAGUUUAGAAGGAGAAAUGGAUAAAGGAUGAGUAUGAGAGGAGGUGAAAUAUAUAUCUUGGUUUUGAACUUUGUAGGAAACCUAUAAAGUUAAUAAGUUUGUUCAGUAUUUUAGGCUAAUCACUGAGGUUAGAAAUAGAAUGUAUAACUUAAUAAUGAGUAAUGGGAAAGGAGGAACUUACGAAUUAAAAAAAUGUGAAAGAAAUAGAAAGGAAAGGCAACAUGGCAUAUAUGCUAGAUUGCAAAAGUUAGGCCAAAUGCACAUUAGUAUUAAUAUCCACAAUAAAGAUAAAUGGAAUAAUCUUACAGUUUCUAAGAAAACAAAGAUGAGAAUUACAUAAUUAUUUUUCAUUAAAAGCUGUAUACUUGUCAUAAAAUAAUAUUAAAAGGGGGGGAAGAUUCAGUAGAUAAAGAUGAGCAAAAGAAAAGCAUAUGAAAAACAGAGUUUAAGGCAAAUUGAGAUAUAAAUAAAGGACAUUACUUGAUGUUAAAAGGAAAAUAAUAUCAAUCAUAAUUUUAUAUGUAUCUAAAACAGUCUAGAAAAAUACAGAGUAAAAUCUGAGGAUUGGAGGAGGAAAAAACAAAAUAAAUAAUCAUAUCAUGUUUUUUAUAUCCAUUUCUAAAAACAAAAUCAAAGGUAAAUAAAAUAGAUCAUUUUUUAAAAUCUUUGGCCAGUAUUAUAAUAGAGUGGUAUGAUGGGAAAGACCCUCUAUCUUCCAAAUAACUAUGUCGUACCUGUGACACAUGCAGGCAUUACUCUCCCACAUGAGGUAAUAGUGGCCUCCAAGGCUAAGCCCUCCCAAACAAAUAGGUAAACAAGACAUGAACUGGUGCUAGAGAUGCACGCAAUUGUAGAGGCACGGUGAAUAUGCAUAGCAUGAAAGUUGUCUGAAUGCCGAGCCAAAAUCAAGGCUAUGUGAAGUUCUGGAUAGUAUUUAAAAGUACAGCUAACAGGAUUUGCUCAUUAUUGGAGACAGUUUUUUCAAAGAAAGUGAGGAGUCAAAAAUAACUCCAAAUCAUUUUGCAUUAGCAAAUGGGUAGAAUUGCAUUUAACUGAGAUAGAAUUGGUUUGAAGGAGGACUACCAGUACUUCAUUUCAAGGUGUAUGAAGUCUGAUAGGUCUUUUAGAUAUCACUGUCAUUGGGAAAGUAAUCAGAAAUACAAGUCUGAAGAUCAAAAAGAGGUCCAGACUACAUAGAUACAUUUAAGAGUCCUCAGCUUCUAGGUGGUGUUUAAAGCAAGAGAUGAAACGUGAUUGCAAAAGGCAAAGAUGUAGUUUAGGUGGAGAAGUGAGAAAUUUCAAAGAUCAAGUCUUGGAGGACUCCCACAUUGAGAGGUAAAGGGAACAGAGGGAGGAAAAGGAACCUCAAACUUUUAGAUAAGAUGCAGUUUGAUGAACCGAAACAUUUUGUGCUGAGAAGAGUAGUGUAGUGAGAAUGUCUGAGAUAGGGGUGACUGACUUUAGGCAAGAUACUUAGUCACUGUAAGGAACUCCUCACUCACUGAUACCUAAUCAGGUCCAGCUAUGAUUUAGGUUCAAUUUAAAUGUCACUUUCCCACAGAGAUCUCCCAUGUGCAUUUUACCCAUCAUUCAGCUAGUUACUCCUUAUUACCAUGUCUUGUUUAUUUCAUUGGCUUAAUCUCAGUCUAAAAUUACCUUAUCUAUUUAUUUACAUGAAUUGUAUGUCUCCUUCCCUCUCACCACCACCAGAUAUGUAUAUUGCAUGUAAGUAAGUUUUUUGCCUCCUUCAUGACUCUGUCUUCAAUUCUUAGCUUGGUGUCUGGCACAUAGAACAGGAUCAGUAAAUGACUAUAAGAUAAAUGAUUUCCCAAGAAUGAGAAACACUGAACUGAAAAUUUGCUUAUAUCCUUAAGGAUGCUCCACUCAUUAAGCAAAUUAAUUUAGAUCCUCAAGAAGAUUUAAAUAUUUAGUAUGUUGCUUAAAAAUUCUCAAUUUUCUGCUUAAAAUUUCUCCUCUAUUUUCUGAAAGAAACAGUUUCAUAUUUUUAGAGUUGCAUUUUUGUGAAUUAUUUCUGUAUCUCUUAUCCUUUCUAGCCCCAUCUACUUGUACCCAUUAGUUCCAGACAUUUUUAAAUAUUGGACAAAAGCUUGCAUACCAUCUACAUCAGAGGAACAAUAGUUCCAGAGAGAUUGUGGAGAACUUCUCCCUCCCCCAAAACAUGGGCACUUCAUGUGAAGGGAAUUCUUCCUCCACCAAAGCAUGGGCACUUUUGCAUUCUGAAACAUGCCACGCAUGGAUAAGUUUGGAUUAUUUUUCUUCUUGUGAGGUACUUUCACAUGCCUUUAGAAGUGAAAUUUUUUUACAUGCACCAUCAUAUCUAAAUUCCUAAGAGAGGUUCUUUGAAUUAUCCCUAUCUCCUGACCCCUUUUGCCACAUACUUUCAGAAUCAUCUAGAGUUCCUUUCCUUUGACAUAUAACUGUAGUAAGGAAUCUCUUUCUGUCAUCUCUUCUAUUUCUGUAAUCAGUCUCCGUAAAUACAUAGGAAAGGAACAGUAAUAACUUUUGAAUAAUAGAAUUAAUGAAACUGAAGAUAUAAAUUAUUUUUUUUAAAACGUUCUCACAGGAAAGCAAAACAUUCUCACGGAGAAAUUAUAAACAAAGAUUAUAAAUGACAUAUUUGCAGCUUCCUAAGCAACCACCCAGUCAAAUAAGUUAUUUAAAGACCACCAUCUUGACUUUUACAGCUAAAUAAACUCUGUGAACACUGUGCUCUCUUUCAUGUCAGUGCCAUGGAUUUAUGAUCUCUUCAUCUCAGAAUAAAAGGGCUUUUUAAUUUGCCCAUGAAUUUAAGGAUCUCUGGUUGUAUUGUUUAUUAGAAAUAAAUUCAGCAAGAAUGAAGAAUUCCUUCUGGAAUUUCCUUUGAACAGGUGUAUGACCCAUUCACUUAAAUAUAUAUAUAUAUCUUCCAUGAUACAGAUAUCGGUUUCCUUUUUUUCACAUUAAUUUGUUAAAGUGGCUAUAAUUAUUAUGAAAGUGACAUUAUUAGGAUAAAAUUUUAUUAAGGAGUUUAUAAUUUCUAUUGAAAAUGGAAUUAUUUCACCAGGUCCUAUACACUUAUUUCAUCUUCCUUUAUAGUAACGGAUUUUUAUGAGCCAGUAUUUAUACCACAGGAAAUCUAUAAAUAACUUCGAAUUUCUCCUAAAAUACAUGUUGUACAUUGUAUAAUUUAGGUAGCAAAGUCUCUAACCUUCAUUUUUGGCAAAGUAAAAAUUAUGACAAGUAAAACCCUCAAAUUUAUCAGAAAACUAAUUUGCAUGUUUAAGAAAUCACUUCUGAAUAUACUCAGUACAAUGAUACUGUAUGUAUUCAAUAUUUAUAUAGUAAUAUAACUAUUUUCUGAUAUAUUCUGUUAUAUAAAUAUAUUUUUGUUGUCUUUUUUCUUUUGUUAGUGUCACGAUGGAUUCAUAGAUUCUUACUUAUUCACUGUUUCACCUGCAAGUAUAGUCACUUGUGAUGCUUUGAUUGGGCAGUGAGGGGGCCCUUUCAAUUGGACUUUUAUGUUCUUUAGACAGUUUUUCUCUUUAGCCUUCUUUGUUUUCUUCUACAAGAGGUCGCAGGCUCAUGUUGUGUUUUCUUUGUUCUAAUCCUGGAAUGUGUCCAAGAGACCCAGUUUAUUUGAGUAGGUAUAUGGAAACCAAGAUCUGUGUUUCUGGGUUUUAGGGCUACUUAGUGCUACUGGAGUUUCUUGACCUUUUAGUAAUUUAAAAACUAUGUGUUCAUAUUAACAUGUCUAGCUUGAAUUUAAUAUGGCAGAAUAUUUCUUAACCUCUUUAAUUUUGUAAUUUUUUCUCUAUUUUAUGAAAAAAAUCUCAGUCAUUAAUAUCACUAACACACUUACUUGAUUUAGCCUGCAAUUUGAAUACAGUUGUUAACAAAAUUACAAUAUCAACAUACAUGGUUUUUUUUACUAACCAUUGUUUUUACUAACCAUAAAGCUACUGAGAGAAGUUAGAGAUUUUUUUGCAAUUCUUUUUAUUCUUAAAGAUUCUUCACUAAUGAUAUAAAGUGUGAAUUGUGCUCAAAGCUACAUGUGUGUGUUUGUUUGUUUUACCCCCUGUGGUUAUAUGACUAACUUGGUAUAUGGUUAAGUUGUACUCACACAAUUCCAGCUCUACUCUUCCUACUUCCCACAUUAGUGCUUCUCCUCCAAUCUCAUUUUGUCAAUAUCUACAUUUACCUCGGCUAAUCUUGAUUUUUUUUUUCCUCUACUUGUGUGACCCUGCUGAUUAAGGGCAUAAUGUAACCAUCCCUAUUAGGUUCAAUAUAUUUGAACCUAAUGUUUUGGACCUGAACUGACUCCUCUCCCACACUCAUGUUUUAUAAUUAUUUUUAUUCAUCUGUGGCUGAUUUCCUAUCGUGAUUUCUAAUACUCUCUCCUAGACUUUUCUCCCUUUGUAGUUCCAUUGAACUUCUUAUGUUUAACAAUGACUCUGUUUUCAUUUAUCAAGGUGAAGCCAGUACUGUAAUCAGUAUUUAGAAUCUUUACAUCUGGGAAUUUGAAAUGAUUUCUGAACUUAUUCUCUUUCCUAUAUAUGCUUGAGAUUUUAAUGGGAUCUUCCAGCUUAAAGUCGAAGUUACAGGACUACUUAGAAUCUCCUAGGUCAUCCUAUGAGUGACAAAUGGGGGCUGAGUCAACAGUCAAGUGUGGUACACACUACCUCUGAAAACCCUGAGUGAUCAAUAAAGCAUUGUAAUUCCUCUUUAGUGACCAGAUGCACAUGGUACCAUGUACUGACAUGUACUGGCUUUAAGGGGCAUGUACUGGCAUUACCAGGCCACUGAGUAACUAAAAUUUACACCAGUGCAACCUCUUGAAAUUUAGAUUUUAUUUCUCACAUUCUGGCAUGUGUCUUUCCAAGGCCUCAAGAAUACUUACAAGGUAUCAAGAAUACUUAUGACUUUGUGCUUCUCAUUUCUGAUUAGCAUGAGGUAAUAACUACAGGGCUACAGUUAUGCUUGGUGGAAUAGCCAGAUAAUUGAAUUCCUUUUGGACUGUGUUCUAUUAACAAGAAAAUUUAGGACAAGACCAUGAACAUAUACUAUUGUAUGUUCUAAGUGAAUUAAAUUUCUGAAUGUUCCUCUUUGUAAGAUUGAAAGUAAAGCAUUUGGUAAAUUACUAGCUGCAUAUUAAUGUCAGAGGUUGUGUUGAUCGGUUCAAGUAAAGAUACUAUAUUUAUCCCCAUAGCUGCAAUUGGGCUGUCACCUGUUAAGUUUAUGUUAGUACAUCUUUAUCCGCCAAAUUCAUCUGAUUUUUUGUAGAGACCAAAUUGAUGGGAACCACCAACAUAAUCUUCAUACUGAUCUCUGCCAUUCUACUUGGGAUGUAGGGUUGCUUGUGGUUUUUCAUCUUGGUGGAGGAAAGGACAAUUUCAUUCUUCCUCGGCUUUGCUUACAAUUACAUCCCUUACCCAAAAGUCAAGAAAUAACAAGGAUCCAGCUAGCUGUUAAGCAUAUACACUUCAAUUAUGCUUUCAGAGUCUGGGAAAAUAAUCCCAGGGUAGAUUCAUAGGCAUUGAAUCUAAUAUGAGUUGAACUUGGGUCAUGAUUGCAUUUACCAUAUAGUCUUUGUAUGCUGCCAUGCUAAUAGUGUUCUGAUGCUGGUUUGGACACUAGUAUUCAUAUUAGCUCAAAUUCUGAAUGCAGCUACCUUCAAAAAGUCUUGCUGUUUCUCUUGUCUCAGUAUAGUAGUACUUGGGUACUCUUAUGUAAAUGAACUUAGUUUGUUUUGGAGAAGUCUUGAAAGCAUCAUCACAUGUACUCAUCAUGAUGUUGCAGUUUUCUCCUGCAUGGUAUGUAGGCAGGAGGAGGCGACUAUCCUCUAGUAAGGGUAUGGCCACAUUUGCAUGGUUGGAUGAUUUAAUGUAACAGAAGGUUCAAGGUUAGGAUCUACUUCCAAAUACCUUCUUCCCAAAUCUCAGUAUCUCAGGAAUUCCAUGUUAGCCUAGGAAACUUGUUAAGGCUGUGAAUUAAGACUUCUUUGUAAUUCUUUCCUGCAACAACUGGUCUUGGGCUUGAUUUUCUGCCCAGACUAUGCUUUUGAUGCAGAUUAUAAUGUUUCCUUUAUAAACAUUCUGGCUUUCAAAUCAUGGCCUAAGGUGACACUUGGCCCGGUUGAGCCUUCCCCUGUAUUCUUUCAGUACCCAUUCAGGUCUGCGGCCUUUUAAGUUACCAUCAUUUCUCCCAAAAAGUAGAGACAUUGCAUGAAUCAAUGCUUCUCUUUUUAACUGUAUCAUAUCUAUUUCACCACAGUAAUAAUGAUAACUACAGCAUGCUAAUGGUAUUAUCACCCAUUUUACAAACAACUGUGGGAUUUUUGUUGCCAUCUGACUAGUUUAUUUUCCAAUUUUAUAAUUCCAUCCUGAAGAUCUAAUGUUUAGGACAAUUUCUGAUACCAAGUAUCAUAGGGUUUCCCCAGAAGCUAAUUCUAAUGCAAGGAUUUGAGUACAAAAGUUUAUUUGGGAAGUUCAGAAACUAUUGGUAGGGAUUGAGAAAAUGAUUCAAAGAAGGAAAAGCAACUGGUAAGGUUCAUUUCAAAGGGAGGCUACUUAAGCUUUAUCUCACAGGGAAAUUGAAGAAGAAAAA